rnacentral:snoRNA from 1 species
UGUUGUGAAUGAUGAGGCGAUUCAAUAUUAUUACAGUUAUCCCUGUCUGAUUACUGUUGCUGAUAAUUUGUUUUCUGACACAACA